UACGUAGGUGGCAAGCGUUGUCCGGAUUUACUGGGCGUAAAGGGAGCGUAGGCGGAUUUUUAAGUGAGAUGUGAAAUACCCGGGCUUAACUUGGGUGCUGCAUUUCAAACUGUAAGACUUGAGUGCAGGAGAGGAGAGUGGAAUUCCUAGUGUAGCGGUGAAAUGCGUAGAUAUUAGGAGGAACACCAGUAGCGAAGGCGGCUCUCUGGACUGUAACUGACGAUGAGGCACGAAAGCGUGGGGAGCAAACAGGAUUAGAUACUCCCGUA
rnacentral:rRNA from 1 species